CACCGCUGGUGUAGCCCAGGACACGUCACUGUGAAAGAGGUCUUGUGUUGUCCGGAUUUGGAACUGCUAGCCGUUAGCCUUCGGCCUUACUACAUACCCAGGGAGUUCAGUCACGUGAUCGCUCUCUGUGUUUACAUCCCUCCGAGCGCCGAUGCAGCCGUUGCCUGUGAGAAGAUCCACACAGUAACAGCAAGGCUGCAGACACAGCACCCUGAGGCGUUCAUUAUCAUCUCUGGGGAUUUUAAUCAUGCCACAUUGGACUCCACCUUGGCUGCCUUUUACCAGGCUGUAGACUGCCCCACGAGGAAUAAUAAGACAAUUGAUCUUCUGUAUACCAAUGUCAGGGAUGCAUACAGAGCCACCCCCCUCCCCCCACUUGGGAAGUCUGAUCACAAUCUGGUCCACCUACAGCCCCAGUACACCCCCCUGGUGCAAAGGCAGUCGAAUACAACACGCUCUAUCAGGAAGUGGUCGUCUGAAGUGGAGGACGCCCUGAGGGACUGCUUUGAAGCCACGGACUGGGAUGUGCUGCUGAAACCCCAUGGUGAGGACAUUGAAGGGCAGACACACUGUCUGACCGAUUAUUUAAAUUUCUGUUUAGACGUGGUGACCCCUGCUAAGACUGUACGCUGCUACCCAAACAAUAAACCCUGGGUGACUCAAGAGGUUAAAGCUGUCCUUAACAGGAAGAAGGUAGCUUUCAGGAGCAAGGACAGAGAGGCAAUUAAAUCAGCACAGCGGGAGGUGAAACAGUGCCUGAAAGAGGCAAAAAACAACUACAGGAGGAAAGUUGAACACAAACUGAGUGAAAGUCGCAUGAGGGAGGUCUGGGAUGGUGUUAAUACCAUCACAGGCCACAGGGUAAAGACUGUGACAGCAAGAGGGUCAGUGGAGGAGGCAAACAGACUUAAUAACUUUUUUAACCGGUUUGACCAGCCCACGACCCUCCCACCCUCACUGCAGCCCCCUCCUCCUCCUCCCCUCCCCCCAGUGCACCUUCUCCACAACAACAAUGCUGUCCCCUUCUCCCCCCUCCCCUCCCCACAUCCUUCUCCCUGCAUAACUGCAGACCAGGUCAGGGGAGAACUGAGG
rnacentral:lncRNA from 1 species